AAUGAACGUUGGCGGCGUGGAUUAGGCAUGCAAGUCGAGCGAGUCUACCUAGUAGCAAUAUUGGGUAAGUCGAGCGGCGUAAGGGGCAGUAAUACCUGGGAACGUACCCUGAGGUCGGGGAUAGCUGCUGGAAACGGCGAGUAAUACCCGAUGAUCUUGGAAAAGCAAAGGCUUGCCGCCUUAGGAGCGGCCCAGGCGAUAUUAGCUAGUUGGUGGGGUAAUGGCCUACCAAGGCAUAGAUGUCUAGCGGGUGUGAGAGCACGACCCGCGCCACUGGCACUGAGACACUGGCCAGACACCUACGGGUGGCUGCAGUCGAGAAUCUUCGGCAAUGAGCGCAAGCUUGACCGAGCGACGCCGCGUGCGGGAUGAAGGC
rnacentral:rRNA from 1 species